rnacentral:rRNA from 1 species
GGAAACGGGUUAAUAUUCCCGUACUUCUUACAAUUGCGAUGGGGGGACGGAGAAGGCUAGGUGGGCCUGGCGACGGUUGUCCAGGUUCAAGUGCGUAGGCUUAAGAGUUAGGUAAAUCCGGCUCUUUCUAAGGCUGAGACACGACGUCGAGCACCUACGGGUGUGAAGUCAUUGAUGCCAUGCUUCCAGGAAAAGCCUCUAAGCUUCAGAUUGUAAGGAAUCGUACCCCAAACCGACACAGGUGGUCGGGUAGAG